AUUGAACGCUGGCGGCAUGCUUUACACAUGCAAGUCGAACGGUAGAGGGGGCAACCCCUUGAGAGUGGCGAACGGGUGAGUAAUGCAUCGGAACGUGCCCAGUCGUGGGGGAUAACGCAGCGAAAGCUGUGCUAAUACCGCAUACGAUCUCUGGAUGAAAGCGGGGGACCGAAAGGCCUCGCGCGAUUGGAGCGGCCGAUGUCAGAUUAGCUAGUUGGUGGGGUAAAGGCCUACCAAGGCGACGAUCUGUAGCGGGUCUGAGAGGAUGAUCCGCCACACGGGGACUGAGACACGGCCCAGACUCCUACGGGAGGCAGCAGUGGGGAAUAUUGGACAAUGGGGGGAACCCUGAUCCAGCCAUGCCGCGUGUGUGAAGAAGGCCUUAUGGUUGUAAAGCACUUUAAGCGAGGAGGAGGCUACUCUAGUUAAUACCUAGGGAUAGUGGACGUUACUCGCAGAAUAAGCACCGGCUAACUCUGUGCCAGCCGCCGCCGUAA
rnacentral:rRNA from 1 species